GAUGAACGCUGGCGGCGUGCCUAAUACAUGCAAGUCGAACGAACAGACGCGGAGCUUGUUCCUCUGACGGUAGCGGCGGACGGGGGGGUAACACGUGGAUAACCUACCUAUCAGUCUGGGAGAACUACGGGAAACAGGAGCUAAUAACAGAUAAUAUAUUGAACCGCAUGGAUCAAUGGUGAAAGACGGUUUUGCUGUCACUUAUAGAUGGAUCCGCGCCGCAUUAGCUAGUUGGUAAGGUAACGGCUUACCAAGGCGGCGAUGCGUAGCCGACCUGAGAGGGUGAUCGGCCACACUGGAGCUGAGACACGGUCCAGACUCCUACGGGAGGCAGCAGUAGGGAAUAUUCCGCAAUGGGCGAAAGCCUGACGGAGCAACGCCGCGUGAGUGAUGAAGGUCUUCGGAUCGUAAAGCUCUGUUAUUGGGGAAGAACAAAUGUGGAAGUAUCUGUGGACGUCUUGACGGUACCUAAUCAGAAAGCCCCGGCUAACUACGUG
rnacentral:rRNA from 1 species